GACGAACGCUGGCGGCGUGCUUAACACAUGCAAGUCGUACGGUAAGGCCCUUUCGGGGGUACACGAGUGGCGAACGGGUGAGUAACACGUGAGUAACCUGCCCACAACUUUGGGAUAACGCUAGGAAACUGGUGCUAAUACUGGAUAUGUGCUCCUUCUGCAUGGUGGGGGUUGGAAAGCUCCGGCGGUUGUGGAUGGACUCGCGGCCUAUCAGCUUGUUGGUGGGGUAGUGGCCUACCAAGGCGGCGACGGGUAGCCGGCCUGAGAGGGUGACCGGCCACAUUGGGACUGAGAUACGGCCCAGACUCCUACGGGAGGCAGCAGUGGGGAAUAUUGCACAAUGGGCGCAAGCCUGAUGCAGCAACGCCGCGUGCGGGAUGACGGCCUUCGGGUUGUAAACCGCUUUCAGCAGGGACGAAGCUUUUUGUGACGGUACCUGCAGAAGAAGCACCGGCUAACUACGUG
rnacentral:rRNA from 1 species